rnacentral:lncRNA from 1 species
UCUCAUUACCAAAUGAACUAGAUAUGCUUGGAACAGUGGGUCCUCCUGUACCAAAUGUGGAUGCGUGCCUGGAAUCUGUUCCUGAAAUGGGUUACGAUGCCCUUGCAAGCACGCCAAGAGGAGAAAUUUGUGUAAAGGGAGAUACCUUGUUUUCGGGGUACUACAAACGCGAAGAUCUCACAAAAGAGGUUCUGGUUGAUGGAUGGUUCCAUACAGGUUAUUGGUGUUUUCCAAAAUUGAACUAUAUAGAUACUAUUUAAAUUGGCUGUUGGAUCACAUUUUGAAGUUUAUAUUCUUUUAAAUUGUGUGAUUUAUUCAACAGGGGACAUUGGAGAGUGGCAACCUAAUGGAAGUAUGAAGAUUAUUGAUCGGAAGAAGAAUAUAUUCAAGCUUUCCCAAGGAGAAUAUGUUGCCGUUGAAAACCUGGAGAAUAUUUAUAGCCAAGUUCCUUCUGUUGAAUCUGUAUGUCUUGAGAGCCCUUCAUAUGGUUUUAGUGUCCUAGCUUGUAGUGAAAUUAUUCCCCAUAUAAAGUUGAAAAAAAUAUCUUUUUACUCUUUCUACUUGAAUUAAAUUUAUUGGUUCAUUAUAGAAUUAUAGAAACCGUGCCCUUGAUGGGCUUGGGACAAAUGGGGCCAAUCUUGAGCAGCUAAUAUUUUUAGCUCAGUUUGAUAAUUUUUAAUUACGGAAUUCAAAAUAUAAGCAAGCUUUAGACCGAUCAUCAGUUAAUGCAGAGACACCAAUCUCUCUUGCCUAUAAUCCAAAUUGCAUUCUUAUUUCUUGCUGGACAUAUAGUUCUAUAACUGUACUGAGCUUUAAAUUUUCACCAGCAGCAUGUGUACGUUGCCCAUAGUCCUAUGCGUUGUUGUGCACAGAUUCUGGUCCAUAUUGGUAUACUUUACAUUAGUAUCCGCAUUCUAUAGUUCAUUAUGAUCGUUUGUCUAAUAGAUAGGACUGUUCUUGUUGCAUUAGUAGCUGUACAAUUAUUCAUUGUGACAUCCAUAUGUAUCAGCUCAUAAACACAAAAAUAGUCUACUAUUAGCUUCAUUUCAUGAGUUAAAAUCGUUCUGUUCCAUGCUGAUUUGAACUUUUAUUCCUCCUGUCUCAGAUAUGGGUUUACGGAAACAGUUUUGAGGCCUUCCUUGUUGCUGUUGUUAACCCCAGCAAACCAGCACUUGAACAUUGGGCAGAAGAAAAUGGUAUAUCCGUGGACUUCAAUUCUCUCUGUGGAGAUUCUAGGGCAAAAGGUUACAUACUUGAUGAGCUCUCAAAGAUUGGAAAGGAAAAGAAGGUUCUAUCUAAUUUAAAUUUCUUAUUUUUGUUCUAAUUUGUUAUGUAUGGAGUGUGUGUAUGCAUAUAUCAUGACGAUAAAAUUUCACAUUUUUAAAGGGGGUUUUCUACAAAUAUCAGAACUAUUAAUAAUUUCCACACAACAUACUUUUUUAGAAAGUAGCCUUUUCAACGUAAUAUUAAAUGCCAACCAUCUAAUCUUAUAUUUUUAGUUUCAAAUGCUAGUAAAAAAAUUUGUACUAAUAUUUAACACAAUAUUUGCAUAGUUAACUAAGAUUCAAUGAUUGGAUGGCCCAAAAUAUUUUUUCAGAGGAUUUUUUAAGUGGUGUGUGUAUGGUCUUAUGUUUGCACCAAUUGAUUCUAUUCUACAUGCAUACCUGUUUGCAUGCAUAAGUACAUGUCCUGAAAUUUUAUGCGAUGAUGGAUAUGUUUUUGACAGUUGAAAGGAUUUGAGUUCAUAAAAGCAGUCCAUCUUGACCCAGUUCCAUUUGAUAUGGAACGUGACCUUAUCACUCCAACAUAUAAGAAGAAGAGGCCCCAGUUGCUUAAAUACUAUCAGGUAAAAGUUGUCAAAUUCUCAGGAUUUCAUUUCUGCUUCAAAAAUUAUUUCUGCUUUAUUAUUAUUGGAAUGGAUAGAAUGAGCUGUCUUUGUGUAUAUAACCUUUUUUUUCUUCCGGAUAUUUUCGUUCGACUGAGCAUAUAUAACUGAACACAGGUGUAGAAAUCUCAUCUGAUUGAGUUGACCAAGAGUCAGUUUUUAGAUGUCAUCUGCACCCAUGUUAUUAGAUUAGAUGUGAAUCAUAGUGCAACUGAUGUGCCCUGUUUCACUAUUAAUAUCAUAUUAGUUAUGAAUCAGUUACAUUACAGUUCAGUUAAAGUAGUCACUUCACUUACACUUGGCUUGUACAAGUACCUGUUCACAUAAGAAAGUUUGUUUCUUCUCGUAUUUCAUGUAUAGGUGUAGUUAACUAGUUAUGUGCCAAACAGACUUGAAACUGAACACUCGACAUGGUAGCUGAAUCCUAAGUAAUUUGGAAUACCUAACGUGAAUGUGUAAGUAAACGAGUAAAAUGUUUACAAGUGAUUAUCCUCUAAUUAAUAGUUGUUAGCAUACAAUUCUAUUUCCACUUCACUUUCAAUUGCAAUUUUCCAUUGCACUUUUAACGUUUCAAAGCCUGUUUUAAGGACUUAAUAAUUUCUGUAUUCUGAAAGCACUGACUGCUAUUUUAUUUGUGGCACAGAAUGUUAUUGAUGACAUGUACAAAAGUGGAAAUAAACCCCGUGCCUGAGAGAUGCUUUUGGAGUUGGUGCCAUGCCAUGUAGAUAAUUCAUUUUCUGCAUGUGAUUGUGCUUGCCUUUGUUCAUUUAUUAUUUCCUUUUGGUUAUUGUCUGUACAUAUGAUUAUGAAGAGACGGCAGAUGAUCUGCCUCACUCAACCGUGAAAGAUACGAUAAUACAAAGUUUAAACAAAUUGUUUUCUUCACCUCUAGCAAUAUUCGUUGCAAACUUUUGUUAGGAAAAUAAAAUAUUAUUCCAUUCCUUAUCAAAAUUAACAGUGGUGUAGUUCUUGUUUUUUACUUAGUGAUGUUUUCAAAGAUUUAUACAAUAAGCAGUGAAUGUGAAUUAUAACUGUUUGUUUUAAUGUUUAUAAUUGAUUGGUUGGACACUCCUUACUCUUUCUUGUUAGUUCUUCUGAAAGCAGUUCCAGAAUCCACCAUUCAUAUAAUGGAGAAUGUGUUUUUAAAGCUAGAGUAUCUCAAUCAUCUUAUAAUGGCUGUGGAGUUGUAUUCAGUGCAGUGAUAAUUUUUCUCAUGUUACUCAUUUGUGGGAUUUUCUCUUUUGUGGUAACACGAAGUGCCUCACGGACCAUGGUGACGUAUUAAACAGGGCACAGGACAAAUCAUCUAUUAGGGAAUAAAUUGGGAACUACAACACCUUCAUUUGAUAUUUUACAAUUACAUAAAUGGUAUUGUAGCUUCUUUUGAUACAUGAGAGUUUGGUGGAUGUAAAAAGAGAUAAUAAGGGACGUUAAUAAGAAAAUAAAGAAAUCUACAACUCGAGAGCUGGAAGCAAACACUCAAAAAGCAGAUUUUUAAAGCUGGCACCUUCACGUGUAGCUGUGUUGAUGGAAUCAUCAUUCAUUAUCCAUCGUACACGAGCUUAGAUUGAGAUUUUGUAUCACUUUAACGUUGCUAAGAAGAAUAUAAGAAAACAAGAUCGGGAUACACCAAUAAAGGAUCGAAAAUUUAAGGUUUUUGCGUUUAUUACGAAAUGUGAACCCUGUGGUAGUGUGGCUAUGUUCCAGAGUUGGAUUUUGGAGACAAAUGGAGAAAGAGUUAAUUUACAUUUUUUAACUGUUAUUUUUCUUUUACCCCGACAAGCUUAAGGUGACAAUGGAGUAAAUACAAUCAUGAAUGCGAUGAAAAAAGUUUCGAGGAACAAGUUAACCCAAAAACACAACCUGACUCUGAACUCCAACAGUUACACAGCUAGGACACAUAAAAAAACAUGAAAUUAAACAUUACCAAGACAGCCAAAAAAAAAAAAAAAAAAAAAAAACAUGAAUUUAAAUACAACCCCAUAUACCCAAAAAUCAAAAUUUGAAAUUCAAAAAUUGGAAAAAAGAAAAGGGGGAAGAAUGAAAAUCAACAGAAAAAGAACCUUCUUGGAAGCGCGAGUGAGAUUUUGUUGUUGAACCGUUCGUUUCAUAAACACAAGCUUCCAACAAUUUCGUAUUCUUCACAAAGGUAUAAUUAGUGUGAAAUUCACAAAAUUGGUUUGUGUUUUGUUUCUUAUGAGCGGAAUCGGGAAGGGAUGGUUUCGUCUAGUUCUUAAUGAAGGUCAAAGUGUAAAAUGAGGAUAGAUCUACUAGAAGAAAUGAAGAAUACAUAUACAUAUUCAUCAUUUUUUAAACCCAUAACAAUUAAUCAUGAAUAGAUGAAGGUUUAGUUUUUUUUUUUUUUUUUUUUUUUGGUUGGAUCGGAAGAGAUGAAGAUAUAAUGAUUGAUAUGAAGGAUGAAGAUGAAGAAAUGAAAGUUUAUUUUUUAUUUUUUUCAUUUAUUUAAUUUAGAAAAUAAUUACAUGACUAUUUUAUUUUAUUUUAAUUCAAUAAUUACACAUAUGGCUUGCCAUGCAAGUGUUAACUUGGUCAAAUUGACCAAAAAGGCUAAUAUGGUAAAUGAUGCUAAUUCAUAGAGGACUAAAUUUGUUAGUUUUUUUUUUUUUUAAUAAGAGUCAAAAUUACAACAUUUAAAAUGUUAAGAGGCCAAAAGUACACUUAAACUAAAACAAAUAUCUACAUUGUUAUUUAUAGUACAAUCAAUUUUAAGUCAAAACAAAACCUAUGACCGACCGACCAAUCGAAAAGGCAGUGACAAUACACAAUAAUUUGGAUAAAAAGACAACCAAUCAGAUAUAUUCUCUCAAGAGAAAAGAAAAAUCCAUUAGAUAUAUUUAGGGAUGUAAAUGAAUAUCCAUAGAUGUGUAGAUAGUGUGAUAUCCGUGUACGUUCUGUUGGACAAAUAUAAAAUCCGCGCCCUAUCCAUACCCACGCAAAUAUCCGUUUAGCGGGUAAUCCAUGGAUUUUGAGGUAUAUGCGGGUUUAUACAGAUAUCCAUGGAUAACAUUUAUUAAAAAAAAAAAACUUGUUAAUUUUUUUUAGCUAGAAUUUAAAAACAAAAGUUCAUCACAUGCAUUUUCUUUUCUUUUUAGCAAAACAUAAUAUCCGUACAUCAUAAUAACACAAAGAUCAUUGACUCAACAAAAACAUAAUUAACGUUCCUUAUAUUUAAUAAAAAUAAAGUUCUUUGAUCUGAAAAAUUAAAUAAAGCUUAUCAUAUUCAACAAAAACAAAGCUUCUUGCUUCAACAAUCCCGACCACUUUCCCUUCAUUUUAAAGGAGCGUAAUACAUACUUGAACAGUCGUGCAAUAACUAAUAACAACUCACUAACGAAGUUUGUUGCUUAGGAAUUUGAAUGAUAUUAAAGUUAUUUAUAAAAUUUACUCGAUUUAAUAGCGGGAUAGAUAUCCCCGGAUGCGGGUACCAUUAAAUCUGCAUCCGUAUCCAUUAAUUAGUGGGUAGUUUAUCCAUGGAUAUCCGUUAAAGUAUCCACUCCAUAUCCGUGACGGAUUUUAUCCAUGAAUAUUUACGGGUGCGGAUUUUUUUUUCAUCCCUCAGGACAUUUGUUUGUUUGUUUGUGUUGUAUUAAACAUUUUUCAAUUUACCAAAAAGAAGAGGACAACAUUUUAGUUUUACUCACUUGCAUGAGUCUUUUUUCAAAGUGACUUAGAUCGAGAGUUGAGAAUACAUGGCAUAGACUGUGAUAGACACAAUUUAAAAAAAUCAAUAUGUCAACUUUGAUUAAGACUCAAUUUUAACCAGCAAUUACGCUGAGCGCUCAUAUUUCUUCUCUCAUUUUCCAUAAUAAUACCUUUCUCUCUCCUUUUCUUACUUUUUCCUAUGCAUGCAUCCACCGCUAAAACGUGUUCUAGUGGGAGAACUGUUCUCUACAGUGUCAUCCACCUUAUUGAUCUCCAAUGCAUACAACAUAAGCACAUGUUCUUGUAUUCUAAGAACACUAAGAAAUAACAUUUAAAAUUUCUCAUUCUCCGCUUAACUUAACCAUUUUUCUCAUCGCGAUCAUCGUUGAGCCAUGGCGCAGAAAAGAUUCAUCAUUGAGGUUGAAAAAGCGAAGGAAGCAACGGAAGAUAAACCUUCAAGAGGACCUGCGUAUCGUAGCAUCUUCGCUAAAGAUGGUUUUCCUCCUCCUAUUCUUGGUCUUGAUAGUUGCUGGGAUGUUUUUCGGUUAGUUUUUCAUCUUUAUUUCGAUGCAAAUCUAUAUUCAUUUCAUCAAUUUUAUGUGAAUUUGAUAGUGUGAUGACUUGAGUUGAAGUUAUUCGUUCCUUAUUUAAUCUUCAUUUCAUUUUUCUUUCUAUGUACAUAAUUAGUAGAUUGAGUAAGACUAGCUACACUCUCUCUUUAAUACUAUUGUGUGAGUCUACACUUUGAAAAUUGAACUAGAUCAUAUUCUGUUUAUUUAAAUUAUUUUAAUUUUCGUUGAAUUUUUAUGCUAAUUUGCAAAUCAUAGCUCUCUGAUCUGAAUCAUCAUAAUAUCAUAACUAGUUGUAACAUUCAGAGUGAGUAAAUCAUAUUUUGUUAUAUUUGGUUUCUCAAAUUUUCUUUCUAACAUUGGAGAAAUAGUGUUUACUAAUCUUUUAUGUGUGUGCGCGCGCAUAGAGGACUUGAAUAUUUGAUUUAAAGUUCGAUUGUUAUAGUUUUUUUAAGAAAAAAAAAUCACUUUUAAGGUGUUGCAUCGUUUGUUACCACUUUUUAAUAAAAUCAGAAUCUAAAAACAGUUUCUUAAUAAGAAACUGUUAAGAGCAGUUUCUAGAAAAAAUAGAUUUUUUUUAGUGGAGAGAGAAAAUAUGGUUUAAAAUAUUAAAUUAAUUUUGUAACAAAAAAUCUCUUUUAUAAGUUUGUAUCCAAACAAACUAAAUUAUUUGUUUAUACGGUAAACAAACAAACGUAAAAUAGAUUCUGAUUUUUCAUAAAAUCUCUAAAAUAUAAUCUCUAAAUUAUUUUAUGUCAAAAUCACUUUUAUUUUAAUCCGUAACAAACCAGCCUUUAAUUUUGGCUCGAUUUUGGACUAAGUAUAAGUCAUGUAUUACUUCAGUUUAAGUUAAUGUUAAAAGAAAAUAAGUGUUGUAUGUGCAGAUCGCGACAAAUAGAGGUUCUGUUAUAACGUCGUAUAGCCGCUGUUUGACAAGAUUUUGUAAUAAUAAAUAGCUUAUCAUGGAACAAUACCUAUUUCUUCAAAUUCUGCUAUACUAUAGUUUUGCUUUUUAACAACACUAGCAAAAAUUUGGACCUGUAUUGAUAAGAAAUUAGUCGUUUCAGUUCUAAUUGUAUCAGUGCUUUUACAGAUUGUCUGUUGAGAAAUAUCCAAAUAAUCCUAUGCUUGGUAGCCGAGAGAUUGUGGACGGGAAGGUAAAGUAUUGGUUACUGUAUAAAUCUUUAAUUUUUUAUUUUUGGAAAUUUUCAUGCCAUAGCUUGACUGGUCAUGGAUUUUGACUUAUUUAAAUGCUCGCAUGUUAUUAUUACACUUAACAGCAUGGCAAGUACAAGUGGCAAACAUACAAAGAAGUAUAUGACAUGGUGAUCAAAGUCGGAAAUUCUAUCCGCAGCUGUGGUUAUGGAGAAGUAAGUCUUCUGUCUCUUCUCUUGAUUACCAGAAAAUGAAACCUUGUUUUGUUUUUGGUUAUUUUAAUAGCAUUUUCUUCUUUGUAUGUUUUUCAAAUUCUUGGAUUCUCUGUACAUGUUGGGUUGUUCAUUAUUUAAUAUCUACAAUCAGCAUUGACGUGCAAUGUUAAAAUUGUGUGGUUUCAUGCAAUUGGUAGCUUCAGAUACCUCUUAUUUUAUUUCUUUGAACAUUUAUUAUUGAUAAUGUUACUAUCUGCAUCAUAAAUAGUUCAAUAGUUAUUCACUUACCAAGAACAUGUUCAUGUGAGUUCAAUUGCUUAACUCAUUGUCACAGAUUUUUCUGAUGAACUUAAGCUGACAAAUUUGCCUAAUAUGAUUUUGACAUUUCACUUUUGCAUAUACUAAUUAUUUAUAUUGAUUAGUUUUUUUGAGCUUAAUUCGUAUAUUUCUGGUUUGCAGGGUGUAAAAUGUGGUAUUUAUGGUGCCAAUUCUGCAGAGUGGAUUAUGAGCAUGGAGGUACAUUUUAUUUUGAAUUUCUUUCGUCUUGGUUUUCUUUUAAAUUUUUCCAAUUCUAAACCGUUUUUUUUCCCCAAUCUUUCUCUUGCCGCCUGAUUGACUGAUGCCUCCCAUUGAAGGUCUUAUUUUGUGGUUUCAAUCCCUUACAUGGCAGCACGAAAUUAGGGAAAAGUUCCUUAUUGUGUGAUCCAGCCCAGCCCAUCUGUGAGGCAUUGUGAUUUUUUCUUCCAAAUAUUGAGUCAGUUCAACGGACCCCAAGAGUCGAGACGUCAUCCAUGUUAUGCACUCUCAUUUGGAACCUUAUUUCCGAUUUAAAUCCCCCAAAAUGUAUCCUAAGAGUUGUUCAUCUUGAACGACUCCAUCUUGCACUUCGAAGUUCUACACAUGCUCCUCCACUGAGUCCGUCCGAUCCAAUGUGUCCAACUUUUUCCCUCUUGUUUCUCCCUAAACCUUCUAAUCAAAGUCAUUGUAGAGGCUUUGCAACCAGUUAUAGGCUUUAAUUGAGCAAAAACUGAAAUUGAUUGUUGUCGCGCUUCCCAUUUUCUAGAUAUUAAUUUGUAAGGCAACUGCAGUUUCGCUGCCAAACUUUGCACCUCAAAGAUUUUCUCCAACUCUGCAAUCAACUUUCCUUCUCCAAGGCUCCAACUUUGUCCACACCUUCCCGGAUCCGAUUUGUACUCUUCUAACCUCCUUUUCAUUUACCUAUCCUAUUAACCCAUUCCAACACAAUACAUCUGUUUUUCAACUGUCCUUCCCUUACCUCUCCUAGAAUACACUUUUAAUGCCCUCUCUCCUUAAUACAAUACAUUCACUCUGUUGCAGAUUAUGGUAAUAUUUGUUUUUUUUUUUUUUGGUUUUAUACCCGUUCUUAUUUAUUUCUUUGUCUCCUAUGUUUUCUUUUGGUUUUUAUUGUCUGUCAGUAGUCCUUGUUGAAUAUAAAGGGCAAUAAGUUGUUUCUUGAUUGAAACUCUGUUUCAUCUUUUGAAUGUCUACUUUCUACAGUGUUCUGCUUCUAUUAUUUAUUGCUCUUGUGCUUUCGCAGUGCUGUUAGUGGACAUCCCUGGUCGCCUUGUUAUAGUAUUCCUUUUACUAGCUUCUUCCACUCGAUUGUUAUAAAGUUUUAAAUAUUCAAAUAAUUGCAGGCUUGCAAUGCUCAUGGACUUCAUUGUGUUCCUUUAUAUGAUACCUUAGGUAUGUGUAAACGUUUAGCAUGUUUGUACACAGUGAUGGUGCUUUGUCCGCAAUUAGCAAUUGAAUUUUGGUUUCCAAACCUGUUGUACAUGAGAUUUUACACUUUGAUGUUAUUAGAAAAGUUGCAACGUUUUUGUCAAUAUGGCAUUUUUUGCUGACUUUCACCCAAGCUCACCAAUUUAUGCGAAAAACUUACCUGUACUAUUAACAAAGUUCCUUAUAUUUUGAUAAAAAAAAUAUGCAAGUUCUAAAUUCACACAUUAUUAAGAACUUUGAUGUCUAUCUGGCAUAUUUUUGUUUUUAUCCCUUGUGAUUUUAUAAAAAAAAAAAGUGAUUUCAUUGAUCAAUUCUUUGAAAAUCUUACCUACUUUAUGAGCAAAGUUUUUUUUUUUUAUUGCUGAAAAAUUACUAAACCUUCACCGAAAUUUGUCAGUUGCCUAAAAUUGUGAUAAACUAUCUCACAGCAAUAAUAACUUGUUUGAAAUUUAUUACAGUACUAUGCAGGAAAUUAGUGGGACUCACACUUUGGAAAUGAGUUAUAAAUAAAGUGGUGGGACCCAUGUGGAUUUGACCCGAUAAAAUGUGGGUGUUAAAAGAGUGUUUUUAGCAUUUAAUACUGGUUGAAUGUCCCAUAGUCUAGAUAUUAAUCAGUAUUUUGGUAGGUUAUUUUUCCACUUCGCCGAAAAUAAAUGCCAUUCUAAUAUUUUCAAAUUCAGUUUUCUAAUUUUGAAUUUCCAAUUAUCACUGGUUUUGACACUCUCAAACAUAUAUGACUUAGGUUCUGGGGCCAUAGAAUUUAUUAUAUGCCAUGCAGAGGUCUCAAUUGCAUUUGCAGAAGAAAAGAAGAUACCUGAGGUUCAUCUAUUGAAAUAAUCUAUUUCUUAGUAGUUUAUUUUUGGGAAGGAUCAGAGAGUUGAAUACACUUUUCUUUGAACAGUCUGUCUGAUCCCUAUCUUUAUUUUAAAAACUUUUCAGCUAUUGAAGACAUUUCCAAAUGCAACCAAAUAUCUCAAGAGUAAGUGUUUUUUAUUAUCUUCUUUCUUUGCUAAAAUACAUGUGCUUUAGAGAGAAGCAAUGACUUUUAUGUUUCUAUACAGCAAUUGUGAGCUUCGGAAAGGUUACCCCUGAACAAAAGCAAGAAGUUGAAAAGUUCGGACGGGCAAUAUAUUCAUGGACUGAAUUUUUACAAUUGGUGAGUUAUUCAUUUCAUGUAUUAUUACUCGUUCUACUCUUACUUGAAAAUUGGACAUGAAAGCUGCUCCAUGUAUAAUCAAUUGGCAUUGCCUGCAAUUGCUGAGCCCCUUUGCAGCAUAAAUAGUUGGUUGAGUUGUAUCACUAUCUUGGUCCACCGGCAGUUAGUCUAAGUAAUAGCGGAAUGUGUGGAAAGAAAUAAGUUAACAUAAUUGUUAGUUGUUACGCAAUUCAAGUAAGAAAAAUAAGGAUGAUAUCAGGUCAAUGGAAACUAAUGCAUUGUUUGAAUAGUUGACUUGGGUCAAUUUUUGUAGAUACAUAUGCAUUAGAAGUUAUUUUUCUAAACCUCAUUACAAGUAUGGCUAGCAGAAAUUAAUGUCUCUUUUGCUACUUCUAUAAACAUAUUGUGGUUUCCAUUCCUAAUUUGACUUUUAAUACUUGCCACAGGGUGAAAGUCAGAGUUUUGAUUUACCUGUAAAGAAAAGAAGCGAUAUUUGUACAAUAAUGUAUACUAGCGGAACUACUGGUGACCCCAAGGGAGUAUUGAUAUCCAAUAGGAGUAUUAUUACCCUCUUAGCUGGGGUGAAGCGGCUAUUGGAGAAUGUCAAUGAUAAAGUAAAUAUUUAUCUUUUAUAUUUCAUUUGUAACUACAUGAAAUUGAAUGCACUGAGCACUUCGUAUGCACAAUUUCUUUUCAUUUAAUUUAUGCAUAUUAUAUAUCUAAUUUCAAAGCUCUGGAUGUAGUUUUUUUUCUUUUUCUUUUCAGGUUUAAGAUACUAAACGCUCAAGUGUCCUUUCUUUGACUUACAAAAUCUCCCCUCUUUUUUCUUUGUUUACAGUUGACCGAGAAGGAUGUGUACUUAUCAUACCUUCCUCUCGCACAUACCUUUGAUAGGGUCAUUGAGGAGACAUUUAUAUGGCAUGGUGGUUCAAUAGGCUUCUGGUGCGGGGUUAGUAUAUGUACUAAACUUGUCGUUAAUUCAUAGUGAUAAUAAUUGAACUUCAGAUUUAAUUUUAUCACCCCAAGAAGACAAAAAAUGAAAUUUUUUUGGAUUUGAAUAUGUCCUUGUCCAUCAUUUGUACUAUGGCUGCAGGAUGUUAAGUUGUUAAUUGAAGAUCUCGGGGAGCUAAAACCAACUUUUUUCUGUGCGGUACCUCGUGUACUUGAUAGAGUGUACUCAGGUAUGCUCUUCUGAUACCAUGUAAAUCAUCCCCCCCCCCCCCCCACACACACACACACACACACUUCUUACCUAUUUUUCUGAGCUGCCACCCCUUUUCCCAGCUAGAAAAAAAAGUAUAUUAAGAUUCUCAACUUCGGUAUGCAGGUUUGACACAGAAAAUUAUUUCUGGAGGCUUCCUGAAGAAGGCAUUAUUCAACUUUGCUUAUUCAUAGUAAGUACUAAUUGAACUUCCAUGAAUCCUCUAUAAGAUAUUAGGAAACCAUGAGUGUUCCUUUGUCAAAUCUUGCAGAAAUUAUCUUUUAGAUUUGUGUUAAUUUUCCUAAUUAGGUUGUUAUAUUUAACUAUUGGUCGUCCCAGUAAGCAUUGCACUGUUCUAAAUAACUUAAGCUCUGAGAAUUUAUUGCAGUAAGUUGAAUAACAUGAAGAAAGGACAAAACCAUGCAGUAGCAUCUCCACUUCUUGACAAAAUUGUGUUCGAUAAGGUAGUAAAGUCUACAAAUAUUAAUUAAUUACCAGCCGCAGUUUGACAGCAAUGUAUUUUCUCAAUUUGGCUGAUUUGGUUUUGCAAUUUUAUUAGGUGAAGCAAGGUUUAGGGGGUAGUGUGCGUCUUAUUUUGUCUGGAGCAGCACCUCUAUCCUUGCAUGUGGAAAGUUACUUACGGGUGGUGAGUUGUGCUCAUGUCCUACAAGGAUAUGGUAUGCUCUUUCUGUAUUUGAAAAUUUAAAUUCACCCGUGCAAUAAGCACAUAGAUAUAUAGUUUAAUCUUUAAUUGUGUUUAGCCAAGUCUGGUUUUGUAUUUCAAUUGCUGAAUAUAUGGAUAUAACUGUUGAUUAAUUUGAGAUGAGAUGUGACAAUUAGCAAAUUAAUUUUAGUCUUAAUGUAUGUUUUUAGAAAUAUAAAUAGUCUAACUGAAAUCUAUGUGGAAAUUAUUCUGAUGUUUCUUCACUCCAAUGCAGCAUAUGUAAUAAUGUUGAUAUCAGCAUAUGUACUAUGGACUUCACUAAUGUGUCUUUGUUACUAAUGUGUCUUUGUUGAAAUGAAAACAGGUCUGACUGAAACCUGUGCGGGAACCUUUGUCUCAUUACCAAAUGAACUAGAUAUGCUUGGAACAGUGGGUCCUCCUGUACCAAAUGUGGAUGCAUGCCUGGAAUCUGUUCCUGAAAUGGGUUACGAUGCCCUUGCAAGCACGCCAAGAGGAGAAAUUUGUGUAAAGGGAGAUACCUUGUUUUCGGGGUACUACAAACGCGAAGAUCUCACAAAAGAGGUUCUGGUUGAAGGAUGGUUCCAUACAGGUUAUUGGUGUUUUCCAAAAUUGAACUAUAUAAAUACUAUUUAAAUUGGCUGUUGGAUCACAUUUUGAAGUUUAUAUUCUUUUAAAGGCUAAAAUAUGGUUUUAGUCCCUGCAAAUAUGCCUCGUUUUGGUUUUAGUCCCUGUAAAAAAAAAAAAUUGUUUUUGGUCCCUGCAAAAUUUUUU